UGCAAGUCGAGGGGUAUGAGUUCUUCGGAACUUGAGACCGGCGCACGGGUGCGUAACGCGUAUGCAAUCUACCUUUUACAGAGGGAUAGCCCAGAGAAAUUUGGAUUAAUACCUCAUAGUAUAUCGAGUCGGCAUCAAGUGAUAUUAAAGUCACAACGGUGAAAGAUGAGCAUGCGUCCCAUUAGCUAGUUGGUAAGGUAACGGCUUACCAAGGCUACGAUGGGUAGGGGUCCUGAGAGGGAGAUCCCCCACACUGGUACUGAGACACGGACCAAACUCAAACGGGAGGCAGCAGUGAGGAAUAUUGGACAAUGGGCGCAAGCCUGAUCCAGCCAUGCCGCGUGCAGGAUGACGGUCCUAUGGAUUGUAAACUGCUUUUGCACAGGAAGAAACACUCCUUCGUGAAGGAGCUUGACGGUAUCGUGAGAAUAAGGAUCGGCUAACUCCGUGCCAGCAGCCGCGGUAAUACGGAGGAUCCAAGCGUUAUCCGGAAUCAUUGGGUUUAAAGGGUCCGUAGGCGGUUUAAUAAGUCAGUGGUGAAAGCCCAUCGCUCAACGGUGGAACGGCCAUUGAUACUGUUAAACUUGAAUUAUUAGGAAGUAACUAGAAUAUGUAGUGUAGCGGUGAAAUGCUUAGAGAUUACAUGGAAUACCAAUUGCGAAGGCAGGUUACUACUAAUGGAUUGACGCUGAUGGACGAAAGCGUGGGUAGCGAACAGGAUUAGAUACCCUGGUAGUCCACGCCGUAAACGAUGGAUACUAGCUGUUGGGAGCAAUUUCAGUGGCUAAGCGAAAGUGAUAAGUAUCCCACCUUGGGGAGUACGUUCGCAAGAAUGAAACUCAAAGGAAUUGACGGGGGCCCGCACAAGCGGUGGAGCAUGUGGUUUAAUUCGAUGAUACUCGAGGAACCCU
rnacentral:rRNA from 1 species